UACGGAGGGGGCAAGCGUUGUUCGGAAUUAUUGGGCGUAAAGCGUAUGUAGGCGGCUAAGUAAGUCAGGCGUGCAAGCCCGUGGCUCAACCACGGAAUUGCGUCUGAAACUGCCUAGCUUGAGUACAGGAGAGGAAAGCGGAAUUCCCAGUGUAGCGGUGAAAUGCAUUGAUAUUGGGAAGAACAUCUGUGGCGAAGGCGGCUUUCUGGUCUGUUACUGACGCUGAGAUACGAAAGCCAGGGUAGCGAACGGG
rnacentral:rRNA from 1 species